UUAUUUUUUGGAUGCUGUCUCCAGCCCUC
rnacentral:piRNA from 1 species